rnacentral:rRNA from 1 species
GACGAACGCUGGCGGCGUGCCUAAUACAUGCAAGUCGAACGCAGUGGGGAAGGGUGAGUAACACGUGGGUAACCUCCCCAUCAGAGGUGAUAACACUUGGAAACAGGUACUAAACCGAUCCGGCUGGAUGUACCCUCAGUGCAUGAGCUAGUUGGGGAGGCAACGGCUCACCAAGGCUACGAUGCAUAGCCGCACUGAGAGGGUGAUCGGCCAAACUGGGACUGAGACACGGCCCAGACUCCUACGGGAGGAAGCAGUAGGGAAUCUUCGGCAAUGGACGAAAGUCUGACCGAGCAACGCCGCGUGAGUGAAGAAGGUUUUCGGAUCGUAAAACUCUGUUGUUAGAGAAGCGUUAUCUAACCAGAAAGCCACGGCUAACUACGUGCCAGCAGCCGCGGUAAUAC